rnacentral:lncRNA from 1 species
CUGAUGGAAAUAUUGGAGCAGCAUGACCGACCCCACACCCUCAAGUCAGAAGUCUGAUGUAGGAGAAUGGGUAUAACAAGGAUCCUAUCAACAAGCUGGCCAUAAAUAGUUGACUAACAUCGUGAACCCUCCAACUCCUACAAUCAGCAGUGAGCAACUCAUGGACUCAUAAGCCAUCAGCCAUCUCCAUGUUGACAUAGGCAGGCCAAC